GGCUCAGAUUGAACGCUGGCGGCAUGCCUUACACAUGCAAGUCGAACGCGAAAGGGGGGCAACCCCCGAGUAGAGUGGCGAACGGGUGAGUAAUACAUCGGAACGUGUCCAGUAGCGGGGGAUAACCUCUCGAAAGAGAGGCUAAUACCGCAUACGACCUACGGGUGAAAGCAGGGGAUCGCAAGACCUUGCACUAUUGGAGCGGCCGAUGUCGGAUUAGCUAGUUGGCGGGGUAACGGCCCACCAAGGCUACGAUCCGUAGCUGGUCUGAGAGGACGACCAGCCACACUGGAACUGAGACACGGUCCAGACUCCUACGGGAGGCAGCAGUGGGGAAUUUUGGACAAUGGGGGAAACCCUGAUCCAGCCAUGCCGCGUGGGUGAAGAAGGCCUUCGGGUUGUAAAGCCCUUUCGGUGGGGACGAAACGGUGCGUGCUAACACCACGUACUAAUGACGGUACCCACAGAAGAAGCACCGGCUAACUACGUGCCAGCAGCCGCGGUAAUACGUAGGGUGCAGGCGUUAAUCGGAAUUACUGGGCGUAAAGCGUGCGCAGGCGGUUUGCUAAGACAGGUGUGAAAUCCCCGGGCUUAACCUGGGAACUGCGCUUGUAACUGGCAAGCUGGAGUGUGGCAGAGGGGGGUGGAAUUCCACGUGUAGCAGUGAAAUGCGUAGAGAUGUGGAGGAACACCGAUGGCGAAGGCAGCCCCCUGGGCUAACACUGACGCUCAUGCACGAAAGCGUGGGGAGCAAACAGGAUUAGAUACCCUGGUAGUCCACGCCCUAAACUAUGUCAACUGGUUGUCGGGGAAGCAAUUCCUUGGUAACGAAGCUAACGCGUGAAGUUGACCGCCUGGGGAGUACGGCC
rnacentral:rRNA from 1 species